rnacentral:lncRNA from 1 species
GGAGGAACUGCAAAGUCACAUUGCAAAGGGGUGUGAACACUGGGAGAGAAUAAGUGGGACCAUUUGUGAAAGCCAUCAACCACAGACACCUCAAACUCAACAGAUUCAAAACUGAACUCAAGAUCUUCCCCCAAAAUCUGCACCUCUCCCAAAAGUCCACAUCCCAAAUAGUUUCACAGCAAAGAAAGAAAUGCAGAAGUUAUCCUUGACCCCUCUCUCUUCCUCACACUCCAGAUCAAAUCCAUCAUCUCCAAAAUACCCCUUACAUGUGUUUUUCUUUCUCCAUCUGGCCCUUCAGUCCCUAAACAAAGACACAGACACCAGCAUUUCAUCUGAUAGCUUCAGCAACCUCUUAAUAGAUCGCCCUCACCCAUGUUGCCCCCUCCUGUAAAUUCUAUACUUUGUGGCCCUUGAGAUUGUUAUAAAGAACAAAUCAAAUUCCGGUACUUUCCUUCAUAAAGUCCUUUAGCAGCUCCAGUCCCCUUAGCAUGGCUUCAUGCCUGUGAGAUUUGCCUCAGCCCAUGCCAGGACCCCGGGCUCCUUACAAUCCAUCCAUGUGAGUCUGCUUUCAAUUUCUCAGACUCAUGUAGUGAAUUGAAUAAUGUCCCCAAAAACAUAUGUCCAAG